CGGCGAGUGAAGCGGCAAUAGCUCAAAUUUGAAAGCUGGCGUCUUCGACGUCCGCGUUGUAAUUUGUAGAGGAUGCUUCGGCGAAGACUCCUGCCUAAGUCCCCUGGAACGGGGCGUCAUAGAGGGUGAGAAUCCCGUAUGUGGCGGGCAGUCUAAGCCAUGUGAAGCUCCUUCGACGAGUCGAGUUGUUUGGGAAUGCAGCUCUAAAUGGGAGGUAAAUUUCUUCUAAAGCUAAAUAUUGGCCAGAGACCGAUAGCGCACAAGUAGAGUGAUCGAAAGAUGAAAAGCACUUUGGAAAGAGAGUUAAAAAGUACGUGAAAUUGUUGAAAGGGAAGCGCUUGCAACCAGACUCGCUCGUAGUUGCUCAGCCGGCCUCUUGGCCGGUGUACUCUUCUGCGAUCGGGCCAGCAUCAGUUCGGGCGGCCGGAUAAAGGUGUCGGGAAUGUAGCACCCUUCGGGGUGUGUUAUAGCCCGGCGCGGAAUGCGGCCAGCCUGGACUGAGGAUCUCGCUUCGGCAAGGAUGCUGGCGUAAUGGUUGUAAGCGGCCCGUCUUGAAACACGGACCAAGGAGUCUAACAUCUAUGCGAGUGUUUGGGUGUCAAACCCAUGCGCGUAAUGAAAGUGAACGGAGGUGGGAACCCUUCACGGGGUGCACCAUCGACCGAUCCUGAUGUCUUCGGAUGGAUUUGAGUAAGAGCAUAGCUGUUGGGACCCGAAAGAUGGUGAACUAUGCCUGAAUAGGGUGAAGCCAGAGGAAACUCUG
rnacentral:rRNA from 1 species